GCGACCCCAGGUCAGGCGGGAUUACCGUUGAGUUUAAGCAUAUCAAUAAGCGGAGGAAAAGAAACUUACGAGGAUUCCCCUAGUAACAGCGAGCGAACCGGGAAUAGCCCAACUUGAGAAUUGGGCUGCCCCGCCAUCUGAAUUGUA
rnacentral:rRNA from 1 species